rnacentral:rRNA from 1 species
AGACGUAGGGGGCGAGCGUUGUCCGGAAUUACUGGGCGUAAAGAGCACGUAGGCGGAUAUUUAAGUCAGGUGUGAAAGACCGCAGCUCAACUGCGGGGUUGCACCUGAAACUGGGUAUCUUGAGGGCAGGAGAGGGAAGUGGAAUUCCUGGUGUAGCGGUGAAAUGCGUAGAAAUCAGGAGGAACACCAGUGGCGAAGGCGACUUUCUGGACUGACCCUGACGCUGAGGUGCGAAAGCGUGGGUAGCAAACAGGAUUAGAUACCCUGGUAGUCCACGCCGUAAACGGUGAACACUAGGUGUGGGAGGUGUAAUACCUUCCGUGCCGUAGCUAACGCGUUAAGUGUUCCGCCUGGGAAGUACGGCCGCAAGGUUGAA